rnacentral:rRNA from 1 species
AUUGAACGCUGGCGGCAUGCCUUACACAUGCAAGUCGAACGGCAGCACGGGAUCAAUCCUGGUGGCGAGUGGCGAACGGGUGAGUAAUAUAUCGGAACGCGCCCAGUAGUGGGGGAUAACUGCUCGAAAGAGCAGCUAAUACCGCAUACGACCUGAGGGUGAAAGGGGGGGAUCGCAAGACCUCUCGCUAUUGGAGCGGCCGAUAUCAGAUUAGCUAGUUGGUGGGGUAAAGGCCUACCAAGGCAACGAUCUGUAGUUGGUCUGAGAGGACGACCAGCCACACUGGGACUGAGACACGGCCCAGACUCCUACGGGAGGCAGCAGUGGGGAAUUUUGGACAAUGGGCGCAAGCCUGAUCCAGCAAUGCCGCGUGCAGGAAGAAGGCCUUCGGGUUGUAAACUGCUUUUGUCAGGGAAGAAAUCCUCUAGGUUAAUACCCUUGGGGGGAUGACGGUACCUGAAGAAUAAGCACCGGCUAACUACGUGCCAGCAGCCGCAGUAAUAC